UCAUAAGAUAUAUAGCCCCAAUAGAUAACUGUAAUGACACAAGGGAUGAGAACCUGAGAAUUCAAUGAAUCCAAAGGUUCCACGGAGUAACCAGCAUACAUAUCUGCACAUUUAAAAUGUAAAUGAAUCAAAUGUCUCAAUUCCAGCUUCACAUGAUGCAUUCUGAAUACGAGCAGAUGGCUUGAGGAGAGGCACAGAAUCAUCAACUCUGAUUGCUCUCAAUUGUUUUGGAAGGAGUACAUCAGUGCAGACCAGCAUCUUUCCAGGUGGCCGGUUAACUUUACUUGAUAUUGAGAAGAACACUUACACCAUGCCUCCAAAAAAGAAAUCCAAGGUCACUGUCUCUUCAUCUACUACAGCGUUUGAUUGAAGACGAUUCAUUAGUCUCGAAGCAAUGGACCGUUAUAAACAAAGUGUGAUACAUCGGAAUUGCAUUCCUGAGAGGGGCCUUGAAAAUUUUUUUGCCAAAUAAAAUACACAGUUUGGGAUGGGAGAAGUUUACCAAGCAACCUAAAGCUGCAUCCAUUCCUUUGGUGAAAGAAUUUUAUGCCAAUGCUAAUGAAUACAAGAACUUCAAAGUUUUUGUUCGGAGGUUUUGGAUCAAGUUUGAUAGUGCUUCAAUUAAUAGGUUCUACCACUUCCCUUCCUCUGGUCUGAUACUUAGCUUUAAAAUUUGGCACCACUUCAUAUCAUCCAAACUGAUCCCCAGUAGUAACACCAGCGAAGUCACCAAGGAACGGGCCUUACUGAAUUUUGUUAUUUAGAAUGGGUAUUCUAUUGAUGUUAGCAUAGUCAUUCAAAACAGCAUUCUUCGCAUCCCAGUCGGGCCAGCUACAGGUAGUUUGGGUCACUCCUCUUUGAUCCAUGACCUUUGCAUACACGGGGGUGUUCCCGUGCGAGAAACUAGUGAAGUCUUACACCCGAAAUAACCACUUACACGGGAACUCCGUGAUAGGCAUGUGGGACAUCGGGACGUGCCUGAUUCUUCUCAAUCAUCUCGUCCUUUACCUCCUACACCACCGCCUCCACAACCUUCUGAUGCUACGGGGGACAUCCUUCGGCAUCUUGAAGCCAUGGAUUUGCGCAUGACCCGAUGGCAGGAUGGCAUGCAAGUACAAAUGAAUCAUCUACAAUCCACCAUCUUUGACUAGUUUCAUUAUCAGAGUGCUUGCAUGGCGGUCAUGACAUCUGCACACCCCGAGCUCACCUUCCCCCCACCGUCAUCGUUUCCACCUAAUUCACACCCUCCCGCUCCACUUGAUGGCGAUGAAGACAGUUGAUGUCUUCCCCGAGGUAUUUCUCUUCCCUUUCUUUCAAUUUCACAUUGAGGGCAAUAUGUUGUUUAAGUUUGGGGGUGUCUUACUUUCACUUAGUUGUUAGUUGGGUCUAACAUUUUCUUUAUUGUUUUUGUUGUGUUGCAUUAGUGUUCCAAGUAUGUUGUGCGUGUUAAUUUACUGUGUGAAAAAAAAUUUAAAAAAAAUUUUGCAUUAUUUUAUUUCACAUGCUUGUAUGAGUUGAAUAACAUUAUUAGCAAUGAUGAAUAUAUUUGGAAUGUGGAUCAGUUGUGGAUUAUGGAUGAGUUAGUUGCUUGAAUUAAAGUGUUACUUACCCUUGCAGAUUAUUGUAACAUUUAUGCACGUGAAUUGAAUAUAGCGGCAAACAAGAAUGAGUUGAUUCAUAAUUAGAUUUAGGCUGAAUUAAUGACCCUAGAAAUUGAAUCCAAACAGCCACUUGUAUAAUAGUAUUCACAUCCCUUAACCUACCUUAGGAUAGUUUGGAUGGGCAAACUGUUGUAGGAAAGCAUGGACGUGGGUGUGGAUUCCUUGUGUGCCAAAUUCUGUGUGGAUUGUCUGAGACCAAUGAGAUGAAAAUUGAGUAAACACUUUUAGUUAAAGGCCAAUUUUCGAGAAUAUGUGUUUAAUAAGGGGCAUUGCACUAAUUAAAAAAAAAAAUCCCUAUGAAGACAACCUUAAAAAGCUUAUUGUGAAGCGUCUCUUCGUAACAUUUAUGACUUGAGUGAUUAAGCCUGUAAGGGUUUAAAACCUGAUGCCCUAAAGUCGUUUGGCUUGGGAGUCAUUGGCCUAAAGCUCGCUAUAUGGGUCAUUUAGAAAGCUUAAGGGAGGGACAAUCGCACAAAGAUUAGUUAAAAGAAAAGUCGUUUUUAAGCUUAAUUAAGCCUUGAACACCUGUUUUAAAGGAGUAGGCUUUUGGCAAAGGGUUAGUAACUUGGUUGAUUCUUGGAGGUUGAAGCAGUCAAAAAUAGGAGAAUUCAUACUUACCGAUAUGUCGAACUACAAUUAGUAAAUUCCAACCAAAUUUUAGAGGUGUAAGAAAUUAGUAUUGAAAAUCAACUUUACGUACACCUUGGGAAGAAAAGAGAAAAUAAGUUUGGGGAUGUGUGAAUCCCACAAGCGAAGUAAGGAGAUAAUUGACUUCUGAGGGCGGGAGUUGAAUCAACAUACGAAUGUCUGGCGUUAUAUUCGAUUCUUCACACACGCACGCAUAUGAUCUGUAAUGGGUGGGUAAGGAGCUACCUUUUGCAAAAUAACUUUGAAAUACUUCAUAAACUCGAUCUCACAUUUCAAUGUUGAGCAAUAAAAACAUGUUGUCCAACUAAAUUAUGCAUUUAAAUUCUUUGGCAGCAUUUGUGUUUGUGUUUGGUAAUUAUUGUUUAUUAAUUGUGUUUGCUUGAGGACAAGCAAAGAACUAAGUUUGGGGGAGUUUGAUGAGUGUAAUUCACUCAUUAAACAUACGCCUCUAAAUCACGGGUUUUAGUUUGUUCUUGAGCACUUUUGAACGUUUUGAUGUGUGUGUUCGUGUUAUCUUGCAGCUAAAUCAACAUUCGAGAAAACACCAUAAUUAGGAGCUUGUGAUGAAUCUAAAUGGUGGUCAUAAAAUGGGGGCAUAAAUUAGAGAUAAGAAAAGAAGAUUACAAUGGAAAAUAAGUUUAGAAGGUGAAUGAUUCAAGCAAGAAGCAGCUUGUUAGGUGCCACGACGUGGCGGCCAACAAAAGGAGAAAGUCAGCAGGAAGCUAGGCGCCACGGCGCCCAGCGUGAAAACAAGAAGCAGAACAGCUGCUACCGUGGUGCCAGACUUGGGCGCCAAGGCGCCAGAACCCAAUCACAACGCGGUGUUGCGGCGCCAGACACCCCCGUAUAUGCAAAGGUCAUGGAUCAAAGAGGGGUAACCCAAACUGCCUGUAGCUGGCUCGACUAGGAUGCGAAGAAUGCUGUUUUGAAUAACUCUGCCAACAUCAAUAGACUAGCCCUUCUGAAUAUCAAAAUUCAGUAAGGCCCAUUCCUUGGUGAUCUCGCUGGUGUUGCUACUGGGGAUCAGUUUGAAUGAUAUGAAGUGGUGCCAAAUUUUACAGUUAGGUAUCAGACCAGAGGAAGGGAAGUGAGUUACAUCACUAGCUGAUCUUUUCCAUUCAGUAUCGAGGCGAGCUAUAGUGCGAAUUAUCUCAUCGGGAUCGACCCCCUCAUCACGUAGUCGGGAAUAGUCAUCAUUGAGUAUAUCUCGCGUGUGGUAGAACCUAUUAAUUGAAGCACUGUCAAACUUGAUCCAAAAAUCCCGGAAAAAACUUCGAAGUUCUCGUGUUCA